rnacentral:rRNA from 1 species
AGUGAACGCUGGCGGCAUGCCUAACACAUGCAAGUCGAACGGCAGUACAGGAGAGCUUGCUCCCUGGGUGGCGAGUGGCGGACGGGUGAGGAAUACAUCGGAAUCUACUCUGUCGUGGGGGACAACGUAGGGAAACUUCUGCUAAUACCGCAUACGCCCUACGGGUGAAAGCAGGGGUCCUUCGCGACUUGCUCUAUCUAAUGUGCCAAUGUCGGCUUAGCGAGUUGGCGGGGUAAAGGCCCACCAAGGCGACGAUCCGUAGCUGGUCUGAGAGGGUGAUCAGCCAGACUGGAACUGGGACACGGGCAAGACGCCUACGGGAGGCAGCAGUGGGGAAUAUUGGACAAUGGGCGCAAGCCUGAUCCAGCCAUAGCGCGUGGGUGAAGAAGGCCUUCGGGUUGUAAAGCCCUUGUGUUGGGAAAGAAAUUCAGCUGGCUAAUACCCGGUUGGGAUGACGGUACCCAAAGAAUAAGCACCGGCUAACUUCGUGCCAGCCGCCGCCGUAA